rnacentral:rRNA from 1 species
AUGAGCCGCUCCUACCCCAGGAGCCAGAAAACGUCCAAACCCGCCUGCCGUUCUCACCCGCGAGGACCCUUUCUUCCUCCCGGACCCAAGAAGACUCUGCUCAAAAUCUCGCCAACCUCCGGGCCACCAUCGCCAUCACCAUCGCUCCUUCCAAAAUCCCCAUCCAGACGAGCAUUUGGAUUGCCAUUCCUUUGUCCGCUUCGCCCAAAAGUUAAAGCGGCGGCGUGCCGUUGUCCGCUUCUCCGCCAGUUCCGUUCCACCUGUGCUCCACCAGCCCGUCCCUCUUCUUGGCUGGCUUCAAGAAAAGACUGGUUCUGGUUCUGGCUCUGGAUCCUCCGCUUCCCCAACCGCCUGUCUGAAGUUCUUGCGGGGGCGAGGCUGCUUGUUUGGGCGGCGGCAAGAGGCGAUUCAGCCGCUGGAAGGCCUGCGCCGCAAAGAUCCAGUUCGCGGUGGAUGGAGCGAUGA